AGUUGAUCUGGCUCAGAUGAACGCUGGCGGCGUGCUUAACACAUGCAAGUCGCGCGUGAAAGGACUUCGGUCCGAGUAAAGCGGCGCACGGGUGAGUAACGCGUGGAUGAUCUACCCAUGAGUUGGGAAUAACGGCUGGAAACGGUCGCUAAUACCGAAUACGCUCCGAUUUCAACUUCGGGGGAAAGGUGGCCUCUGCUUGCAAGCUACUGCUCAUGGAUGAGUCCGCGUCCCAUUAGCUAGUUGGUGGGGUAACGGCCCACCAAGGCGACGAUGGGUAGCCGGUCUGAGAGGAUGACCGGCCACACUGGGACUGGAACACGGCCCAGACUCCUACGGGAGGCAGCAGUGGGGAAUAUUGCGCAAUGGGCGAAAGCCUGACGCAGCGACGCCGCGUGAGGGGAAUGAAGGUCCUCGGAUCGUAAACCUCUGUCAGGAGGGAAGAACCGCCACGGUGCUAAUCAGCCGUGGUCUGACGGUACCUCCAAAGGAAGCACCGGCUAACUCCGUGCCAGCAGCUGC
rnacentral:rRNA from 1 species